rnacentral:rRNA from 1 species
GCUGGCGGCAUGCCUAACACAUGCAAGUCGAACGGUAACAGGCCCGCAAGGGUGCUGACGAGUGGCGGACGGGUGAGGAAUACAUCGGAAUCUGCCCGGUUGUGGGGGAUAACGUAGGGAAACUUACGCUAAUACCGCAUACGACCGAAAGGUGAAAGCGUGGGAUCCGCAAGGACCUCGCGCAGCCGGAUGAGCCGAUGUCGGAUUAGCUAGUUGGCGGGGUAAAGGCCCACCAAGGCGACGAUCCGUAGCUGGUCUGAGAGGAUGAUCAGCCACACUGGGACUGAGACACGGCCCAGACUCCUACGGGAGGCAGCAGUGGGGAAUAUUGGACAAUGGGGGCAACCCUGAUCCAGCAAUGCCGCGUGUGUGAAGAAGGCCUUCGGGUUGUAAAGCACUUUUAUCCGGAAC